AGUGAACGCUGGCGGUAGGCCUAACACAUGCAAGUCGAACGGCAGCACAGUAAGAGCUUGCUCCUACGGGUGGCGAGUGGCGGACGGGUGAGGAAUACAUCGGAUUCUACUUUUUCUUGGGGGACAACGUAGGGACACUUACGCUAAUACCUCAUACGACCUACGGGUGAAAGCAGGAGUGCUUGGGGCCUUGCGCGAUUGAAUUAGCCGAUGUCGGAUUAGCUAGUUGGCGGGGUAAAGGCCCACCAAGGCGACGAUCCGUAGCUGGUCUGAGAGGAUGAUCAGCCACACUGGAACUGAGACACGGUCCAGACUCCUACGGGAGGCAGCAGUAGGGAAUAUUGGACAAUGGGCGCAAGCCUGAUCCAGCCAUACCGCGUGGGUGAAGAAGGCCUUCGGGUUGUAAAGCCCUUUUGUUGGGAAAGAAAAGCAGCAUGUUAAUACCCCGAUGUUCUGACGGUACCCAAAGAAUAAGCACCGGCUAACUUCGUG
rnacentral:rRNA from 1 species